ACCUCUGUAGCUCAGUGGCAGAGCGCUGGUCUUGUAAGCUAGGGGCCGUGAGUUCAAUCCUCACAGGAGGUA